rnacentral:lncRNA from 1 species
UUUUAGGUAAGGAGGUGGUCCAACAUACUUAUUGGGCUCGUCUACACAGGUGUGCGCUGCUAAGGUGAUGAAUAGAUGUGGGAUGGAUCGUUCAAUUCCUCUACAAGUGGUAUCAAAGCCCAUGGUUCGGUGGGAGUCCAAGUAUCAACUUCAAGGUGCGAGGGGGUGCGCGAGAGGUACAAUUCGCAGGCCUCGUGGGUGGAAUAAAUAGAGUUGAAUCAGGUGGAGCACGACCUCGUGUCAGGUGGAGCACGGGAUGAUUUGAGUCGGGUGGAGCGGGCUUAGGAAGGCUCUAGGGAAAUUGCUGAGACACCCAG